rnacentral:rRNA from 1 species
CCUACGGGUGGCAGCAGUGAGGAAUAUUGGUCAAUGGACGAAAGUCUGAACCAGCCAAGCAGCGUGAAGGAUGACGGCCCUCUGGGUUGUAAACUUCUUUUAUAGAGGAAUAAAACGAGGCACGUGUGCCUUUUUUCAUUUACUUUAUGAAUAAAGAUAGGCUAACUCCGUGCCAGCAGCCGCGGUAAUACGGAGGAUCCGAGCGUUAUCCGGAUUUAUUGGGUUUAAAGGGAGCGUAGAUGGGUUGUUAAGUCAGUUGUGAAAGUUUGCGGCUCAACCGUAAAAUUGCAAGUGAUACUGGCAGUCUUGAGUGCAGUUGAGGAAGGCGGAAUUCGUGGUGUAGCGGUGGAAUGCUUAGAUAUCACGAAGAACCCCGAUUGCGAAGGCAGCUUACUAGACUGUGACUGACACUGAUGCUCGAAAGUGUGGGUAUCAAACAGGAUUAGAUACCCUAGUAGUC